UCUGUUCCAUCUGAGCCCUAGCUGACCAGAGCCUUCCCUCUCCCUCUGUCCUGCCACGGCCUCCCCCUCCCAACCCUGGCUUGGCUCUGGGGGUGCUCAGUGGAAUAUGCAAAUGUCUCCCUAACCAGCUGGUGUCUGCCUCCCAGAAACACAUGUUCUUAAGCCUCUCUGCCUCACCAGGGAGGGGGGACCAGAGCCUCUGUCCAUGCCACAGCCCGGAGAGGACAUAUUACCGAGCAAGGAACAGCACAGCAAGCAGAUGGAGAAGGACUGCUAGCCACGGGGGAGGAAGGCAGGAGAGGAGCAGCAGAUGUUGGGAAACGCUUUCUGUGAAAGACCAGAAAAUGCAUAUUUAGGUACUGAGGAUUCUACCAUCUCUGUCAUGACUGCUCAACUCUGCUGUUGUACUACGAAAGCCCUUGGGCCAAAGUGCCGUCUCUCCCAUCUAUGUAGCCUCAAUCUCCACCCAGAGAGGCACCUUCUUGUUCAACCUGUGUUCUACUGCCUUUGUCCUUAAAACUGUAAGACCACUUUGGAGGGCCUUGCGCCUUAGGGAUGGUGAGGAGCCAUCCUUCAUCUCCUGUCAGAAACCCACAAAACUUCACAAAACCCACAGUAGCCUCUGCUCUGCCAUCAGAGAAUGCCCUGCCCAGUUCUGCCAUAUCAGAGCGGCGGCUUUGCUCCCCGGCGCCUGCCCCAGCAAGGUCUGGGGUGCAAUUUCUUCUACAUCUCUUCUCCCACAUCCAGAGGUGACCUCCAGAUCCUGAGAGGCAACAGGUGUCACUCUAGAGGGCAGGAACCUCCUGUCUCCUGGCAGGCCUGGUAUAUCCCGAUAUCCCUUGUUCUCUGCCCAUAAAGCCACCAACAGAGGCUAUCCGCGCCCUGCCUCAGCAAGAAGACGCCAAGUUGCCUUCUACUCCUGCUGAGAGGAGAUCAAACUCUUGCCGAGUGCCCCCAAGGGGCUUCCGGCUCCUCCUUUCUGGGCCUCCUCAGUUGGACUGGAUCCCACAUUGGCACUUACCAGAAUGAGAGAGGGAUCUGCUGCCUGGCCCCCCAGCGGGGAUCCCCGACCUGAAUCAGCCACAUCCAGCCAAGCCACUGGGGUUUAUGAGCCAUCUGGCUUUGAAGGUGAGCCCGCUCCCUGUCCCCUUCACAGGCUGUGUCCUCUCAGCCCUGGCCAGGAGUCGCUGCCCCCGCAGUCUAGCUAGGUCACCACCAGCCCACAGUUUGGCUCAGCUGGAAAGCAGGCACCAACACGGAGUUGGAAGUGCAGAUUGAUCGAAGGUGAUUCCUGGGAAAGAUCAAGGGGGAGGGGCAGCAGGGGGAGCAGUAAAAGCCUUCAGGUGGUGAUGAGGGUGUGGGAAGUAGAAAAGUUCCUUUUUAAAGUUUCCUUUCUUGUUAAAGAAUAAGUGUGCUAAUAACUUUGUUAAGCCCUAACCUAUGUAGCUGUUAGGCAUGCCAUGCUUACAGGCACAUAGUACAGUCUAAGUCCUUGUACUUUAACCAAGAUAUCUGUGCUGGACGUGCUCACAGCCAUGUCCCAGCUCUCCAUUGCUUCCACCUGCUUAGAAAAGUUUUAAGUUGUUAGCCAAUCGGGUGUUAGUUUAGAUUGUGAGGUCUGGCUCCAGCCAACGGAGAUUAGACACAGCAGUCAGGACGACCCCAA